rnacentral:tRNA from 1 species
UGUUCUGUGGAUUAGUUGGUUAAAACGCCGGAUUAGCGAUGCGGAGUUGUGGGUUCAAACCCCACCAAAACAA